UAAGUAAAUUUGUGGUCGUCUUAGUUUCCCUACAAGUACUAGACUCUUCACUGUCUUAAGUUCAAUUCUUUUAUUUUAGGGUAGAGAAGAAUGAGAGCACACCUCCUCCAAUUGAUUUUGAGAAAAGUUUUACAGGAAGGCCUGAGGGUGUCCAAAAGAAACUUCCUUCAUCGAACUAUGGAGGUGAGAAUGAGAGGCUAUCAAGAAUGGCUCUCAGGCUUCUGCAAGAAGUGCUACUGUUGACGACUGUAAAGCACAAAAUACCACAUUCACAACUGAUGACAAGAGUACUGAACGUUGUACUUUAGCUGAAGGAACAGAGGAAAUGACUGAUACCCAAUGCAAUACUCAACUUGCUGAUCGUACAGUGAGUUUUUUUUAUUUUUUCAUUAUUUCUUUAGAGUAGGCCACUCGUCUUAUUGGUGUAUUGAUGACGAUAAGAAAAAGGGCAACUAGUAAGAUGGACAUCCAGUUGGAAGAAGGAAAAAGGAAGGACCCUUCACUUCGUUUCACACUGUUGAAACUAAACUGAAAAUUAUGCAAUAUCUGAUUUAUGCACAAUUCUUGCAGGAAUUAUAGGGAGUUUAGUAAGAUAUACAACCAGUUAUUUUUUUUCUCUUCAAAUGUAGCCAUUGAGAAAUAAAGAGGCGAAGUUGUAGACAAUCUAACUAACUAUAUUUCUAACAAGAAUUUUAUUGUUUGACAGGUACCAGAGACGGAUUUGAAACCCGUACCAUCUGCAAGGGAUGUAAAAGAUUUUGGCUUGGACCCAAUUCAUAGUGAUGAGGAAAGCCCUUCAAUGUGGCCUUCAGAAUUCAACAGGCUGCAAAGAGAGAUCAUUGAACUUUGGGAGGCCUGCAAUGUGUCAUUGGUUCACAGGACUUCUUUCUCCUAUUUAAAGGUGAUCCGAGUGAUUAUAUUUACAUGGAGGUUGAGCACAGGAGAUUGUCCUUCCUCAAAGAUACGUUUGCUCGGGGCACAGGAGAUUGGCAAACCUACAGUGGAGUGACACAGAUAGUAUUUUUAUUUGAUUAAGAAUUGAACUUUUUGUAUUCCACUAAGGAUGAGAAUUCCCAGUUGAAAGCCAUUGAUUUUGGCUUAUCAGAUUUUGCCAAACCAGACAAGAAAGGAUCCUGCAUGAAACAUGAACAGGAAAAACUGUACUCCGUCCUCUUACAUACGAGAACCAUGGAGAAGAAA